UCGUUUGGGUUUUCCUCAUUCGAGAGUCUCUCUGUUUGUUUGAUAACAACCCUCACACAUCAAUGCCUUGUUCGUUCGGGUUUUCCACUUUCGAGAGUCUCUCUGAUUCUUCUAUAGCAACCGUCACACAUCAAUGCCUCGCCUCCGUUAGAUGUCAUCGUUAUUCUUUUUUCCUUUUCUUCGAUUUCUACAAUUCAGAUUCGAUCAGCUUUUCAAUUUCUUGUUUGAUUUCUUUUUGAUUGUUGUUUUAUUUCUUCCUGAUUCUUGUUUAUCUUUGCUUGCUACUCGCUAGGAUUUUUCUCUUUGUUCCUCAUUCUGGAGACCUUGGCCGAUGGAAGUGGAGAAACAGGCUUGAUGGCAUUUCUGGAGCCUUCUAAAAUGCAGGGUCGGAUUCAUUGCAGAAACAAAUGCCAAAAAAGUUCCGGAGGAAUACAUGCCUAUGAAGCUAAUGUGACAAGUGUCUUGCACAAUGUUUGUAGAAGGGAUUUGUGUCGUGGUGUGGAUUGUAAAAGUUGGACACUUUCACGACCCUUCUCAUGGUGGUUUCUUGCAUGGUGCAAUUCAUUAUUUUAAGUUGCUCUAGCAGUUGCAGCAAUUCUUGAAGGGUUCCCUGUGGUUUUUACAAUGUG